rnacentral:rRNA from 1 species
GUGCCAGCCGCCGCGGUAAUACGUAGGGUGCGAGCGUUAAUCGGAAUUACUGGGCGUAAAGCGUGCGCAGGCGGUCUUGCAAGACAGGUGUGAAAUCCCCGGGCUUAACCUGGGAACUGCACUUGUGACUGCAAGGCUGGAGUACGGCAGAGGGGGAUGGAAUUCCGCGUGUAGCAGUGAAAUGCGUAGAUAUGCGGAGGAACACCGAUGGCGAAGGCAAUCCCCUGGGCCUGUACUGACGCUCAUGCACGAAAGCGUGGGGAGCAAACAGGAUUAGAAACCCGGGUAGUCC